rnacentral:rRNA from 1 species
GAUGAACGCUGGCGGCGUGCUUAACACAUGCAAGUCGAGCGAUGAAGUUUCCUUCGGGAAAUGGAUUAGCGGCGGACGGGUGAGUAACACGUGGGUAACCUGCCUCAUAGAGUGGAAUAGCCUUCCGAAAGGAAGAUUAAUACCGCAUAAUGUUGAAAGAUGGCAUCAUCAUUCAACCAAAGGAGCAAUCCGCUAUGAGAUGGACCCGCGGCGCAUUAGCUAGUUGGUGGGGUAACGGCCUACCAAGGCUGCGAUGCAUAGCCGACCUGAGAGGGUGAUCGGCCACACUGGGACUGAGACACGGCCCAG